rnacentral:tRNA from 1 species
UGUGUAUUGUUAGUAUAGUUAUUACCUUACUUUUCCAAAGUAAAAACCUAGAUAAGGCUAGACAAUACACAA